CAGGAAUGAGUCCCACACUGGAAUAACAGAGAAUGAGUGAGGGUCUGCACAAGGGCUUUAGGAACUGAAGACCCACCAGACUGAUUACAUGCAAGACUUGAACCAGUCUAGGACAACAGGAAGACAAUGUGCUUAGCAAACACAAGUUACAGAAAGCAACAGCUAAUUCAGCAUAUCCCACAAGAGGUAUAGAAUUCGUCCAAGAAGUUCUUGAAUGUGUCCCUUAAAGUCAUGGUAAAGACAAAGUGCAAGAUGAAAGGAAUAGCUGCCUGCAGAGUGAUCCUGGAUAACUGCAUACCACAGGAUAUUGUCACCAGCUGGAAUAGCAUUCAGGAUUCAGGCUAAUAACACAAUGGUAUGGUAUGACUGGGAUACGAAUAUUUUAGAACACAGCAUCAUACAUAUCAGAAAGCAAACAUCACAGUGAGGAGUACUGCAUUAACACCCCACUUCUGAG